GCCCAGGCUGGAGUGCAGUGGCACGGUCUUGGCUUACUGCCAACCUCCGCCGCACAGGUUGAAGCAAUUCUCUCGCCUCAGCCGCCUGAGUAGCUGGAGUAGCUGGUAUUACAGGCGGCCCCGCCACAUCCGGGUACUUUUUUGUAUUUUUAGUAGAGACGCGUUUCGCCAUCUUGGUCCGGCUGUUCUCCGCCCGCCUCGGCCUUCUGAAGUGCUGGGUUUACAGCCGUAAGCCACCGCGCCGGGUUAGAGAGUCUUUUUCUGAAGUAUAUAAGGAGUAAUGUUUCUUUGCGGUAUGUAAAUGGUCUAGGGCUGUGAAUAUUGGCAAUGUAGAACUUCUUACCUACUCAACUUAUUCCUCAAGAGACUGGACUCAGUUUGGAAAUAAAAUUAUUUUUGAAAUGUCAUCUCUGAACAAACAGCUUAUGCAACUUCAAGCUUCAGUGGAAAGAAUCAGAACACAGAGAAAACUUGCCACUAGGACAAAAACGAAGGAAAGAAUCAGCCCAGGAUGGUGAUACCAGGGUUACAGGUCAGUGAGGGGCACAAAGAAGUGAAGCCAGAAGGGCAUAUAAUUAGAACCUAAUCACCACCUACUGAAAAGUUAAAUGCUUUUCAUUUCUAAAUGAAUCAACUUAAAUGUUGCAGGAAUCUGCAAAAGCUGACAAAACUACAUUAUGUCCUCAAACUUUUGUAAGUACUAUAAGUGAUUUUUAAAUUACUAAAUUUUAUUUCAUUGCAAAUUGACAAAUUAUAACUGCAUAAAGAAUUAUUGUAUGAUCCAGCAAUUCUGUUGGGUGUACAUUCAAAGGACAUGAAAUCAUUAGGUAAAGAGAUAUCUGCAUCCUCAUGUUCAUUGCAGCCUUGUUCAAAAUACCCAAGUGAUUGAAUCAGUCUGUAUCUGUCAACAGAUGAAUGGAGAAAGAAAACAUGCUAUCUAUACACAAUGGAAUACUAUUUAGCCUUAAAAAAGAAGGAAAUUAUGUCAUUGUGACAACAUAAAUAGUUAAAAUUAAAAAGUAAACAUUGCAAAAUGUUUAUUUGACAUAUUGAGUAUUUGGCAAAAUGACUUUUGGUGAAUUGGUUUUGAUAAAAUGACUAAACAGAUUUGGCAUAAUCAAUGAAAUGAUGCAUUAUAGUUUAAAAUAAUGAGGUAGAUCACACAAUGUGAUAUGACACAUUACUCAUUAAGUAAAAACCACAGAAAACAAAAUGAUACAUUUCUUUAGGUACAAAGAGUUAGAAUAUACUUUCAAAUAAUGAUAGGCUGUCUUUGGGAGAGGAGAGACUUUUGCCCCAAAUCUUAUAAGGGAAAUUUUACAUAUUAUUCAGAUGAUUAAGAUUAAAUUUUCCAUUUAUAUGUAGCAGGAAAUUUAAUUUAUAUCGUCCCCUAAUUUUGGGAUUUUGCUAGAGGUCCCAUGCUGAGGACCAUGACUGCUGAGGCCGAAAACAUUCUAGAUCAAGGUGAUAGACCAUAGCACUUACUCAGUGGUAACAUAACAGAACUUGUGGCCUUUGGCUCAUAAUCAGCUGCAAGCUAUGCAUAGUUGAAAAAAAUCAAGGAAGCAUUCAGGAGGGCAAGGUCAAUAAGCAGACAUUGACUUUUUGGACCAAAACUGGGCCAAAAGAUUGUUAAACAUGCUCCCACUUCUUCUCUGGGAAAUUGGCAAGUGCUUCCCCUGCAUAUAAAUUAAGCCAGGUAGGGGUGAUGUGCCCUGAAAACUUCUGCUGCCUCAGGAGUAUGAUGGUCCACAGAAUUCGAGAUUGUGAACAAUGUAGUUUGUUCUUGCAGAAGUACCAGUUACUACUGUGCUUGAUCGAAGAAUCAAUAAAAGUUUUUGAGGCAUGCUACUGUGAUCAGCAGGAUAAUGCCCUCCUCCCUGAAAAAUGUCUGUGUCCUAAUCCCCAGACCUUAAAUGACAAAGGAAAUACAAAGAUAUGAUUAAGUUAAGAUUUUGAAUGGUUAGAUUGUCUUGGAGUAAUCACAAGGGUCUUUAUAAGACAGAGGCAGGAGUGUCAGGAUGAGUGAAGGAAAUAUGACAAUAGAAAAAUCAAGGAAAUUUUCCAUCCAAAAUUUUAGAUGGAAAAAGUGUGUGUGUGUGUUUGUGUGUGUGUGUGCACAAAGUCAUUUUAUUCUCUUCCUCUCACCCUCUGUUGGACUUCUUUAUAAUGUGCCAGAUGUCCACAGAUUAUUCAGUUAUCUUAAUGAUUAAAUUAUAUAGUGUAGACUUCCAGAGAAUAAGACAAUUGGAGUAAAUCAUUGAUUCUAUGAUGUCAACAGUAAUUGCAAGAGAAGGAGACAGUAGAGGUUCACAGUGGCUGCAUAUAUGAAGAAAACUUCCAGGGACAGGGGAAUAGUAUAUGCAAAGACAUGAAGGGGUAAUGAUACAGCUGAUAAUGUGAUGUGUGCUUAUUGUAAGGUGAAGAAAGUAGCUGGGCUGGCUCCUUAAUGCUACCCUCCACAUCGGAGGAUAAAUGUUCUCUUCCAGAUUAGUCAUUGAGUUAUCAUGGAGAGAACAAAUACUUUUUAUCCAUUUUUGCAUUCACAUUCACGUUUAUAGACUUCACACUGGUUUGUUUGCUUUCACAAAAGAUAAAUUUCUCAUGUUUGAAAAAUUCUAAGUUACUGGCUUGGGACACUCAAAUAUCCUCAUAAUGUUAAUUGUUCCAGAAAUCACUAUUUGUCGUCAUUGCCUGAUUUCUGUUUCUUGGCUGUUACAGAGAGGCUGAAAUUUCAACCAUCAUUCUGUAAGAACUGCUUAGCAAUGCUUGGGUUGAAUUGGUUACAUAGGAAGCUUAGCUCAAUGCCUGUGUGCUGGUGUGAAAUGUGUUGCUCCUGUAUUAUGUCUGGUAUCUGCCAGCUAAAAGAACAGAAGACCUUCCGGGAACUAGAGUUUCUGAGAGCAAGGCGUUUUGGAGGAUUGCUUUUGUUUUGACUUCUUGAACUUUAAGCAAUCCCAUAGAUCUUGCUUUGGAAAUACAACGUGAGUAGAGGUUUCAUGAAUCACUUCCUGGUUGAAGUGUUAAAGUGAAUAUAUGUGACUUUUCGUGCUGUCCCUUAUCUUGCUGUUGUGGUUAUUGAAGCUCUGAUGAUAUGGAAGUGUAACCUGCGACAUUGACCUCCACCAUGUAGGCCAGUUGUCCUGGAGAACUGCCUAAACCCAGCAGAAAUUAUGUGAAAGAGAAAUAAAUUGUAAAUGCAUUAAGUACUGAGAUUUGGGGCCUGUUUAUCACCACAAUAUUUACCCACCCUAUCAUGUCUGACAAAGAGAAGAACUUUUUUUAGAAUGUGCUAACAGCUAGUAGAUUCACAGUAAAAAAAAAAAAAAAGCAUAAUAAGGUAAAAAAUCAACAGAAAACAUGAUACUUAUAGAAUUCCUCAAAAGAAUUAUGUAGGGCUGCUAUCUUAAAUAGAAUUUUAAUAACUAGAAAAGAAUAUUUAUUCUUACUAAUAUGCCCAUAUCUACAUAUUUUAAGUGGUAAAUCACUAUAGAAUUUCAACAGUUUGUCAAAAAAAUCAGUUAUAGGAAGAAAAAUUUAGUUAAUGGAAUCUGAAAUAAAAAUGUGAUAUAAUACAGUUUAAAUUAUUAGCAAUAUAUUACUACCUCAGUUUUUUAAAAAGUUAUGUUUCAUAAACCUACAAUUUUUUUUUUAAGCAUUAUCAUCUGUGAUACAAUGAAAUAGUGAAUUGACUGGAGCCAGUAAAAUAAUAAGUCUAUUAUUUUAACAUUGUUACAGAUACAAACAUAACACACUAUGUUUCCCUCUAUGUUUGUUUGCCUUUUUAAGUUGUAGCACAACAGAAUAUGAGCUUUAAAACUGAAGCCUGAAUUUGAUGGAACAUUCUGUUUUCAAAAGAAAAUUAAAAACUAAAAUACCUAGAUUUUGUUUCCCUCCUGAACUGGGGAUGUCAGAGCUGGGUUAAAUAAAGCUCACAGGCUUGGUCUUUACAUGGCAGUCAUUAAUUUUUCAUGAGGCUGAAAUUGAGAUAGUAUGGAAGAUUUCCCCAUUGUGUCACACUGAAUGUUUGAAUUUGGUUUGGCCAACUUUCUCCAGAACAUAACUUUUUUUUCCUUGCCCUAAACCCUAAAGCACCAUUUGUGAAUCUGGCAAAUUUCUGAACCACUUAAAUUCAGGAUUCAUAGUUUAUUAUAUCAACUAAGUUUCUAGACUUUCUUGGAUAAAUCAAAGUAGUCAGCUUUGACAAAUUGGAAAAAACUAUCUAACACUUAAUAACCUUAAGGAAAUUCUGCUAUUCUAUUUAUCCCUGUUAAAGAAGAGAACGGUAUGCUUUCCAUUUAGAAAUUAUUAAAACUAUAGCUAUGUUUUUAAAAAAUCAUAAAGAAGAAACCGUUAUAUAUGCAUACAUAUAUAAACAGAUACACAGAAUCUACAGAUGAUAAUUGGGAAUUAUUUUAUAAUGACUUUAUACCAAUUAUAUCUUAAAUAAAAGAAGAAACAUAGAUAAGGAAAAUAAAUUUGGGCAGAACACACUUCAAAAGAAAUAACUUCAUCAUAAAAUUUCAAUCAUAUCUUCAUUAUUAUUCUCCCUGUACUGUUGUAGCACAUAUUUUUAAAUUGAGUCACAAAGGAUUUUUUUUUCAGGCUUAAAUUGCUAAAACUAUUUGGAGCAUGAAAGAAAAGAUCAAAAGGGCCAACUGGGAACAAAACAUAGUGAUCAGAAUUGAAGAUAAGCCACAACACAUAAUAAUCCUAAUUACCAAUCUUUAAUUAAACUACAGGGAGAAUUUAUGUCCCAAAUAAACUUUCUCACAGCUUUUCUGGACUUCAAGAUUGAACGUUUUGAUAUGUAUAAAUAACAACAGGCAAAGAGGAAGCUUAUUAUUUAGUUUCUUAUGAUAUACAGAAAUUUAAACUUAGGAAUAGCGUAUGUUAAAUGCAAAGUUCAAAACAAAAUAUGAUAUUCAAGGGUGUUGUUGGAAAAUAUUUGAAAUUAACAAGCCAAUUAAUUCUGACAAAAUUGACAAAUUUAUGAAUGCCCAACUGAUGAAUUAAAGAACAGAAUAUAUUGGCAGUGCUUUAUUGAAUUCAUUUAGAAAUAAUCUACUGCUGCAAAGUAGAUUUCUCUGGAGAAAAACCAGCAAAGCCAAAUGGGUUUUAUGUGGUUGGAUAUGUUAUUAAUGUAAGUUAGCUUCAACUCGAAAGAGUAGGCCUAUUCAAAGUAUAUUGAAUAAAUUUCAUGUUUCUCAUUUUCCUGGCUAUUGGACUGAGUUUUGCUUUUUUCUGACCCUAGUUUUGCUCUCUUCUUGGAGAGCAUUAGUCAAGGAGGUAAUUGCAUUGAGUCUAACUUUUCCCAGUAAGGAAGAUCUAAUGUUAAUUUUCAUGUGUGUUAAAUCUAAUCAACAUUGCACAGUGUUAUAGUUCUCCCAGUAACUGAACAUUUCUUCUAAAACAGUUUGUGUGUGAGUGUGUGUGUGCCUAAUUAUUUAUUGCACUUUUUAGUUUGAGUUUUUUUCCCUUUGCUUGAAUUUUUCAGAAAUUUCUAGAGAAGUAACAUACUGUGGUAUAAUAUCUGACAGUUCUUUGCUAGGAACUUACUUCACUCUCACAAAUGGAACCCCUGUGGCUGUGUUUACACACUGUGAUCCUAGCUGUUUCUCCCAGUGUUGGAAUGUUGGUCUGAUAUAUGGAAUAGUGAGUAGCAUUAGAAGGAUAGCCUUAGCAAUAGUAGAGCUUUUAAGGUGGGGUAGUUAAACCCUGCCAUUGAGAUUAGGAGGUUUUCUUGGUAGAAAACUUGGAAGAAAAUUUUUUCUCUUGGAUUGGAUUCUGUGAGACAUGAUGGCCUAAUGUUUCAUAUAAAAUAGUUGUAAUUUAUUGUUUUCUUGUUUUCCUUAAGUCAAUCCGCAUUAGUGACUAUUCUCUCAAAAAUUCUAAUACCCAAGUAAUACCAAAGCAUUGGCAUGGCAAUCCAGCAUAAAUAUCAUCAGUGCUGACAUUAUCUUUCAUUUCAAAACAUAGAAAGAUAUACAUAUUGUUUUUGAUGGCUUUUUCUGAACAGAGCCUUCUUACCAAUGCCCCAACCUAUCAAGCUAUUUUAAGUAAUGCAGUCUUGAGUGAACAACACAUAUUUUAAUGAGAAUAUUACAAGUACCAUAGGUAAAUUCUAGUAACAGUUAAUGGCAUUCCUUGUCAUUGUGGUGAUAUUGUUCUCUAUGUGACUAUAGGAAAUUGGUUAAAAUUGUGUGAAGCUGCUAGUGAACUCAUUCAGUCUGACAAUAUGUUUAAGUAGCUAUCUCUUUUAGUAUAGAGAAAAUAUCUGGAAAAGCAAUCUUUCAUUUUAAUUCUGAGAACUUGGUAACCUUCUGUGUCCUGGUUCAAUUUUUAAAACUUUGAUUCAAACCAGGUUACUGUAUGUCAUUCUUCCCUGUUUUUUUUUAACAUUAAAAACAAAGAACUGAACCUUGUUCUCCUAAAAAACAUUAACUCAUAGGAUACAACAGUCUUGAAAAUGACAGUUUGAGAGGAAUAAGGCCUAUGACAAGUGAAUUCUGGGAACAUAAAGUGCUUAAAACCCCAAAUAUAGAUUCAAUAUGACAAGAUUGACCUCCAGUAAAGGAAAAGUAAAAUCUGCUUCUGGUCCUGAAAUGCGUUAUGCAUUUUCUCCGGCGAGAAUUAUGUUAUCCUUUAUUAUCAGGAAACUUUCUGCAUUUUUUUCCCCAAAGCUUAAUAAGAUCAUGUUAAGUAUGUGAAACAAAGAUUAUUUAUAUAAAUAUUGCUUUUAAUGAUGACAUGAAUUGUUUUGAAAUAAAAUUGCACAGUUAAGAAGAUCAAAGCAGCCACUGUUCACUCUAGUUUCAUGUCUCUUUCUCAUUCCUUCUUAGCAUAUCCAUUGGUGGUUGGUUCCCACACUCUUUAGGGAGAGUGGUUAGACGCCAGCAACCACUUCUCAGUUACCUUGUUAAUGUUUAUUUGAGAAUACUUUCUAAUGAAUAUUUUUAAUAAUGAAUAAAAAAUUAGAAAUUAUUUAUUUGGUUGCAAGAAGGAGAUCUUUUUGGAAUGAUGCCAGGAGGGGAGACACAUUAAUUUUAAUGAUUGUCCACACAGGACUUUACUAUCAGUUUUAAAGACUUGAAAGAAAACUGGCAAACUAGGCUGUGUCUCAGACUUUGAGGGAAUUACCAGAAAAUGAGAAAAGCCACACAAAGAAGGCAAUUUAAUCAAAAGAGAAAAUAAGUAUGAAAAAAUGAAGAGGAGUAGAUUUAGUUUCUUUAAGUUUUUGAUCUCCAAAGUUACUUGAUAGAGGGAAUGAGGCACGAUCAUGGGUUUCAACAGCUCAAGCCAAAUACAAAUAUUUUAAUAAAUUAUUUCCCUUAUAUUAUGUUGGGUUGAAUAUGCUUUACAUACAGCUCAUUUUUUGUGAGACUAAUGACUUUUUUGAAAGGCUUUAAGUAAGGGAAAUAUUGUUUAAUAAUAGAAAAAAGCAAUUCUUGGGGAAAAUUAAUGAGGAUAAUGUGAAGAUGACAAAAAUAGUGAUAAUCCUCCUUCUAUAGUCUUUGGAAACUAUACCUCACAUAUGUUGAGGGUUCUAACUAUUAAAAUAUGGCCUGAAUAUUAAAACUGAUAAUAAAACUGUGUCUGAACUUGUAGUUGGAAGGUAAUAAAGUGCCAUUUUUAAACACUUAACUUUGGAAGUUUGGACAAAAUGAAGACAACUCAAGAAAAUAUUGUUACUAUUACUACAACUGCUACUAAAUGUUUUAUAGCAAAUAAAACAGGAAAAUAAAAUAAUUGUUUAAAUGUAUUGAGGAACAUAGAAAAAGAGAUAAAUAUAGAUAUUAGUUCAAUAAAGACAUCUUCAGCAGAGGAACAGCAAUAACAAAACACAGACAGUUUUAAAUAAAAUGAAAUAUUGCUUGCCAAGGUUGCAGAAAAACAAUAUCUGAUAGGAGCAUACAUAUGAGUAUGUUAUUGGUAAGAAAAUUAUGUGUAAAAAUAUAAGUAUAUAUAUGUACAUAUACAAACACAAGGAUACAAUUGUAAUAUAUAUACAUAUUACAAUUUUAUCGAUAUGCCUUAGAUAGCAGUGGUAAAAAGAUCACCUGAUUACAUGAUUACAUAUUCAUUGGAAAAUUGUUUUUCCAUAAAUACCUUCUUAAACUUUUGGUCUCUAGUUGAAUAUGUUCUAAAAGAGACAUUAUACUCGGUACUGUAAUGCCAUUUUGACUUGAAGAAUCAAAGAAGUUGUACCUUUCUUUGUA